GGGGCCAGCAGGAUGGGUACAGUUACACCACAGCGAUAGUAAGACGUUCAUGGGAAAUGGCCAGGAGCUACUCCCUGAAGAUGGAAUCCCUCAGACACAUCAAAACUCCUGCCUCCUCCCGCCAGCUGUUUUCCCAGACAGAAUCCACUCAGCAGCAGACCUGGAGAGAGAGAAAGAGAGCAAGGAGAGGAGGAGCGGAGAGAGAGAGAGAGGGAGACACAGAAUCUGAAGCAGGCUCCAGGCUCCAAGCUGUCAGCACAGAGCCUGACACGGGGCUCGAACUCACGAACCUCGAGAUCAUGACCUGAGCCGAAGUCGGAUGCCUAACCUCCUGAGCCACUCAGGUGCCCAUGAAAAACCAUGUCUUAUAGAAAUAUCCAUACUGGAACAGGGGAAGAUUUUCCCUGUUCAAUAAAACUCAGGAACAACAAAAAUAAAGUUGCAUUUUUGAUCAAGACUCAAUCAA